rnacentral:rRNA from 1 species
UACGUAGGUGAUAAGCGUUAUUCGGAUUUACUGGGCGUAAAGGGUCCGUAGGGGGACUUUUAAGUCUGAUGUGAAAUUUCGGGGCUCAACCCCGAACCUGCAUUGGAAACUGAAAGUCUUGAGUAUCAUAGAGGUAAGCGGAAUUUGUGGUGUAGCGGUGGAAUGCGUAGAUAUCACAAGGAAGACCAAAGGCGAAAGCAGCUUACUGGGUGGUAACUGACCCUGAUGGACGAAAGCUAAGGUAGCGAAAAGG